rnacentral:rRNA from 1 species
GGGAAUCUACCCUGAACUGCGGAAUAGCUCCGGGAAACUGGAAUUAAUACCGCAUGUGCCCUGAGGGGCAAAGAUUUAUCGGUUCAGGAUGAGCCCGCGUCCGAUUAGCUAGUUGGUGGGGUAAAGGCCUACCAAGGCGACGAUCGGUAGCUGGUCUAAGAGGAUGAUCAGCCACAUUGGGACUGAGACACGGCCCAAACUCCUACGGGAGGCAGCAGUGGGGAAUAUUGGACAAUGGGCGCAAGCCUGAUCCAGCCAUGCCGCGUGAGUGAUGAAGGCCCUAGGGUUGUAAAGCUCUUUCAGUGGGGACGAUAAUGACGGUACCCACAGAAGAAGCCCCGGCUAACUUCGUGCCAGCAGCCGCGGUAAUACGAAGGGGGCUAGCGUUGUUCGGAAUUACUGGGCGUAAAGCGCACGUAGGCGGACAUUUAAGUCAGGGGUGAAAUCCCGGGGCUCAACCCCGGAACUGCCUUUGGUACUGGGUAUCUUGAGUGUGGUAGAGGUGAGUGGAAUUGCGAGU